UGAAAAUACAACAUUAACUGAACAUGUAUUUUCUAACAUUAGAACAACAUGCGUGCUGAUGCAGACACCUGUCCACAUCCACAUUAUCCCUUUGAACAUCAUUCCCUACAUUAGUACCAUU